AUCAUUAACUGAAUCCAUAGGUUAAUGAGGCGAACCGGGGGAACUGAAACAUCUAAGUACCCCGAGGAAAAGAAAUCAACCGAGAUUCCCCCAGUAGCGGCGAGCGAACGGGGAGGAGCCCAGAGCCUGAAUCAGCAUGUGUGUUAGUGGAAGCGUCUGGAAAGGCGCGCGAUACAGGGUGACAGCCCCGUACACAAAAGCGCAUGUGCUGUGAGCUCGAUGAGUAGGGCGGGACACGUGGUAUCCUGUCUGAAUAUGGGGGGACCAUCCUCCAAGGCUAAAUACUCCUGACUGACCGAUAGUGAACCAGUACCGUGAGGGAAAGGCGAAAAGAACCCCGGCGAGGGGAGUGAAAAAGAACCUGAAACCGUGUACGUACAAGCAGUGGGAGCACCCUUUGGGUGUGACUGCGUACCUUUUGUAUAAUGGGUCAGCGACUUAUAUUCUGUAGCAAGGUUAACCGAAUAGGGGAGCCGGAGGGAAACCGAGUCUUAACCGGGCGUUAAGUUGCAGGGUAUAGACCCGAAACCCGGUGAUCUAGCCAUGGGCAGGUUGAAGGUUGGGUAACACUAACUGGAGGACCGAACCGACUAAUGUUGAAAAAUUAGCGGAUGACCUGUGGCUGGGGGUGAAAGGCCAAUCAAACCGGGAGAUAGCUGGUUCUCCCCGAAAGCUAUUUAGGUAGCGCCUCGUGAAUUCAUCUCCGGGGGUAGAGCACUGUUUCGGCUAGGGGGCCAUCCCGGCUUACCAACCCGAUGCAAACUGCGAAUACCGGAGAAUGUUAUCACGGGAGACACACGGCGGGUGCUAACGUCCGUCGUGAAGAGGGAAACAACCCAGACCGCCAGCUAAGGUCCCAAAGUCAUGGUUAAGUGGGAAACGAUGUGGGAAGGCCCAGACAGCCAGGAUGUUGGCUUAGAAGCAGCCAUCAUUUAAAGAAAGCGUAAUAGCUCACUGGUCGAGUCGGCCUGCGCGGAAGAUGUAACGGGGCUAAACCAUGCACCGAAGCUGCGGCAGCGACACUGUGUGUUGUUGGGUAGGGGAGCGUUCUGUAAGCCUGUGAAGGUGUGUCGUGAGGCAUGCUGGAGGUAUCAGAAGUGCGAAUGCUGACAUAAGUAACGAUAAAGCGGGUGAAAAGCCCGCUCGCCGGAAGACCAAGGGUUCCUGUCCAACGUUAAUCGGGGCAGGGUGAGUCGACCCCUAAGGCGAGGCCGAAAGGCGUAGUCGAUGGGAAACGGGUUAAUAUUCCCGUACUUGGUGUUACUGCGAAGGGGGGACGGAGAAGGCUAUGUUGGCCGGGCGACGGUUGUCCCGGUUUAAGCGUGUAGGUGUGUGUUCCAGGUAAAUCCGGUUCACUUUAACACUGAGGCGUGACGACGAGGCACUACGGUGCUGAAGCAACAAAUGCCCUGCUUCCAGGAAAAGCCUCUAAGCAUCAGGUAACAUCAAAUCGUACCCCAAACCGACACAGGUGGUCAGGUAGAGAAUACCAAGGCGCUUGAGAGAACUCGGGUGAAGGAACUAGGCAAAAUGGUGCCGUAACUUCGGGAGAAGGCACGCUGACACGUAGGUGAAGUGAUUUACUCAUGGAGCUGAAGUCAGUCGAAGAUACCAGCUGGCUGCAACUGUUUAUUAAAAACACAGCACUGUGCAAACACGAAAGUGGACGUAUACGGUGUGACGCCUGCCCGGUGCCGGAAGGUUAAUUGAUGGGGUCAGCGCAAGCGAAGCUCCUGAUCGAAGCCCCGGUAAACGGCGGCCGUAACUAUAACGGUCCUAAGGUAGCGAAAUUCCUUGUCGGGUAAGUUCCGACCUGCACGAAUGGCGUAAUGAUGGCCAGGCUGUCUCCACCCGAGACUCAGUGAAAUUGAACUCGCUGUGAAGAUGCAGUGUACCCGCGGCAAGACGGAAAGACCCCGUGAACCUUUACUAUAGCUUGACACUGAACAUUGAGCCUUGAUGUGUAGGAUAGGUGGGAGGCUUUGAAGUGUGGACGCCAGUCUGCAUGGAGCCGACCUUGAAAUACCACCCUUUAAUGUUUGAUGUUCUAACGUGGACCCGUUACCCGGGUUGCGGACAGUGUCUGGUGGGUAGUUUGACUGGGGCGGUCUCCUCCUAAAGAGUAACGGAGGAGCACGAAGGUUGGCUAAUCCUGGUCGGACAUCAGGAGGUUAGUGCAAUGGCAUAAGCCAGCUUGACUGCGAGCGUGACGGCGCGAGCAGGUGCGAAAGCAGGUCAUAGUGAUCCGGUGGUUCUGAAUGGAAGGGCCAUCGCUCAACGGAUAAAAGGUACUCCGGGGAUAACAGGCUGAUACCGCCCAAGAGUUCAUAUCGACGGCGGUGUUUGGCACCUCGAUGUCGGCUCAUCACAUCCUGGGGCUGAAGUAGGUCCCAAGGGUAUGGCUGUUCGCCAUUUAAAGUGGUACGCGAGCUGGGUUUAGAACGUCGUGAGACAGUUCGGUCCCUAUCUGCCGUGGGCGCUGGAGAACUGAGGGGGGCUGCUCCUAGUACGAGAGGACCGGAGUGGACGCAUCACUGGUGUUCGGGUUGUCAUGCCAAUGGCACUGCCCGGUAGCUAAAUGCGGAAGAGAUAAGUGCUGAAAGCAUCUAAGCACGAAACUUGCCCCGA
rnacentral:rRNA from 2 species